UACGGAGGGUGCAAGCGUUAUCCGGAUUCACUGGGUUUAAAGGGUGCGUAGGUGGGUUGGUAAGUCAGUGGUGAAAUCUCCAGGCUUAACUCGGAAAGGUCAACUGAUACUGUGCGACUAGAGUGCGGAAGGGGCAACUGGAAUUCUCGGUGUAGCGGUGAAAUGCGUAGAUAUCGAGAGGAACACCUGCGGCGAAGGCGGGUUGCUGGGCCGACACUGACGCUGAUGCGCGAAAGCCAGGGGAGCGAACGGG
rnacentral:rRNA from 1 species